rnacentral:rRNA from 1 species
CUGCUGCCUCCCGUAGGAGUUUGGCCGUGUCUCAGUCCCAAUGUGGCCGGUCACCCUCUCAGGUCGGCUACUGAUCGUCGGUUUGGUGGGCCGUUACCCCGCCAACUGCCUAAUCAGACGCGGGGCCAUCUCAUACCACCGGAGUUUUUCACACUCUGUGAUGCCACAGUGUGCGCUUAUGCGGCAUUAGCAGACGUUUCCAUCUGUUAUUCCCCUGUAUGAGGCAGGUUCCCCACGCGUUACUCACCCG